GUAGGGAGCAAGCGUUGUUCGGGAAUUAUUGGGGCGUAAAGAGCGCGUAGGCGGCUAGGCAAGUCUGAUGUGAAAUCCCACAGCUCAACUGUGGAACUGCAUCGGAAACUGCUUAGCUGGAGUGCGGGAGAGGAGAGUGGAAUUCCCAGUGUAGAGGUGAAAUUCGUAGAUAUUGGGAGGAACACCGGUGGCGAAGGCGGCUCUCUGGACCGCAACUGACGCUGAGGCGCGAAAGCUAGGGGAGCGAACGGGAUUAGAUACCCCGGUAGUCCUAGCCGUAAACGAUGGGCACUAGGUGUGGGAGGUAUCGACCCCUUCUGUGCCGCAGCUAACGCAUUAAGUGCCCCGCCUGGGGAGUACGGUCGCAAAGACUA
rnacentral:rRNA from 1 species